CAUUUUUCCUUUUUCCUUUUUGUUUGCGACGGGUUUGUUCGGCAACCUGCCCUCGCGUCGCGUCACGGCAUUUGAACCACGGCGUGGGGCUCGGAAAGAGCUUUCCGAACAGUACUCACGGGUCUCGUGAGUCCAUCGGGAUCGAAAGUUAGGCACGUGAAGGCAAAGGCGCGUGAAUUUCGCUUGUUGAGAAAUUCUCUCCGUCGUGUUCCGUCGCGCGUAAGUAGCACUGUGGUAAUUGCUCGGGAAUUGGGAGACGGGCGAUCGAGAGCCGGAAGUUUGAACGUUCCGGACAUUUCUCGAGGAGAGAGAGCGAUUCGCUUUAAGUAAAUUUACAGCGCAUGACAUGAC
rnacentral:misc_RNA from 1 species